UAUUCCUUAUAUUUAUCCCUAAUGAUCAAGCCUGAAGUGGCGUUUAAAUGUUGACCUGUUUAAAUGUUGAUGUAUAAGAAUUAAAAUAAUUUUAUUUCUUAUUUUCUUUACAGAUGUGGCAGAUGAAACAGCUGUAAAUCACGAGGUUGAGAACAGACAGUACGUCUAUUACUGAUGGAUCAGUGCUGUGCUGAAAAUAGAGCUGCUUAAUAGACAUCAGGUCCUUACCUGCAGGUACUCUGUGAAGAAGGAUCCCAGCUCAGUUUUCAGCAGCUGUCUAUAGCACAGAGGUACAGGACAUAACAGAGUGAGGACAAGAGAGCUUGAAGUGAGAUACUGAGAGUGAAUUAGAAGAGAGAGAGUGAGUUACUGAUGGAGAGUGAAUUAGAAGAGAGAGAGUGAAUUAAGAGAGAGAGAGAGAGUUACUGAAGGAGAGUGAAUUAAGAGAGAGAGAGUGAAUUAAGAGUGAGAGUGAGUUACUGAAGGAGAGUGAAUUAAGAGUGAGAGAGAGUGGGUUACUGAAGGAGAGUGAAUUAGAAGAGAGAGUGAGUUACUGAAGGAGAGUGAAUUAAGAGAGAGAGUGAGUUACUGAAGGAGAGUGAAUUAAGAGUGAGAGUGAGUUACUGAAGGAGAGUGAAUUAAGAGAGAGAGUGAGUUACUGAAGGAGAGUGAAUUAGAAGAGAGAGUGAGUUACUGAAGGUAACUUUAAGGUGAUUUUAAAAUUUUGUUUUGUUCAGUAUUUCUAACUAAAUGUUUUAUUCCUCAUUGCCAUGUUACAGCUUUUUAUAGCCUGCUAACCUGAGCUAAUGGUAAUGAGGUAAUGAUCUUGCUUUUCAAAAAUAUGCAAACAGGAACUUCACUAAGCCUUGAAGUAUUUAACAGGCCCUGUAGUCAUGCCAAUCUGCCACAGUUACAUGCACACACUUCUGCUACAGUAUGUGGACUGAACCUAUAAAGAAACAAUUCAUACUACGUGUACAAGUACCGUUAUUACCAUAACCACAUCCUGACUUAAAAGUAGAGGCAUCUGUCAUCUACCUUCUCUAUAGUCUUUGUGACUAGGCAGGUAGACUAGGCAAUAGAUCAGUCAAAGUAAUCAACUUACUUUAACAGGAAUUCUGCUGCAUAUCCAUUAGAAAUGCAGAAAUCCAAAUCUAGCUUUUUUUUCAAUUCUGAAGCGUCUCCAGCAUCCACUUAAAACAAUUCCUUAGUCCAUUAUGAAUUUAAUUACUACACACUCUUAAUCAUAGCUUAAGGAAAAAUCUGUGUUUAUUUACAGAAGCAAUAAGGCCUUCAGUGGAACUGGACAGUGCGUGGAUGAUGAGUGUGUGAAACAUGCUGAAGGACUGGAGUUCAUGAUGCAUACCUGACUCCUUCAUUUAAAGAGUACAGCUCGUUAUCUCCCAGAUCUUUCUUCUGGAACAUGCCGAUUACAGCAUUCUGGAUACUACAAACACACAAAAACAACACAACACACAAUAAACACACACCUUACACACAAACAGAAAAUUCAUCAGCCAUUGUGUUAGAACCACAGACACUGUGUGUGUGUGUGUGUGUGUGUGUGUCUGAACCAGAGAAAACAAUGGAAUGUGUUCUCUGAGAUCUUUGUGUGUGUUCACCUCUGCAUGUCAAUCAGCUAAUGAAGAAAAGAGGACUGUAACGCAGUGGCACCGAACCCUGACCCUGCAUUAACCACAGGGUCACACCAUUUAUUUACUGUUCAAACACGCUGAGCUGGAUAUUAUGGAGCAUGAAGAGCUAAGCUCAAACAAGCAUGCUAGUGCAUUUCUGCUUGAGGAAAUAUUUUAUAGGAUUUUAAUUAAAAGAUGUCUUGUGAAGAUGUAUGGAUGCUAGCAGGUCUGUGCAAGGAUCAAGGGGAAGAAGACAAGGAGGCAGCACAAGUAACACAAACAGAAUAAAUGAACAGAAGAAAAGAAACAGCUGUAAACGCUGGAAGAGUGUGGAGAACCAGUCCAACAAGGACACAGCUGAAAGUGCUUACAUACUCCAGUAAAUGCUUAUACACAGGAUAACUCUCCUCCACAGAUGACUUUGAGGGAAGAAGUUAAACAGGGACAGAGGAAACCAUCACCAACAUAAUCAACUUUAAACUGCUGCAACCAGAAAGUAAAGCUCUAAAGAGAUCAGCAUUAGUUCAACAUACUCCAGUCUCACGUUGCAGAAAAUUCCCUGCAGUAAAGCAUGUGUGCAUGUGUUUAGUACCUAUUCCAGAUGGCGUUGGCCCCUGCCCUGCAUUGCUGAGCGCCUCUCUCCUCCAAGGCAGCCUUUUCACUCUUACCCAGUUCACUGAGGCUCGGAGAACUCAUCAGCUUCAACCUGUGGAGAGUCCGCAUGGUCAGACCUGAUGCACAGUUCCCGGCAGGAGAAUAACAACAGAGAGGUGCAGACACAGAUCAGUGGAUACGACACAAUGGAGAGAGAAGUGAAAGAAAGGCAGCACUGUUGCAAGGUAUUCCGUACAUGUGUGAGGGGUCACCACAGAGGACCAACUAGUCCACACAACUACUCAGCACAGGUUUUAUACCAGAUGCCCUUCCUGAGACAACCCUCCCAUUAUCCAGGCUUAGGACUAGCACUGCAUCCAGUGGCUGGAGUCUGAGCACCAGCUGGGAAUCAAACCCAGGCCUUCCACAUGGUGAUUCCUCUGACCAGUGAAUACGUCUGUGAUCAACAGCCUGUGAUGCAGAUGGACUUUUAAAAUGGAGAGUAUGAGAACAAGAAAAAAAGAGGUUGAGCUGCUCUUUAUUCAGUGUAACAUCUGAAUGAAUCUGAAAGACAUGAUGAUGUUUUAUCACUUAUUGUGAGCACCAUGCUUCUUUGCUGUAUGUACCAAAUACACCAUGUAAUGCUUUGACUAGCAACUUAUGAAGAAACAUAACUGUUGUGAAAACAUUUCACUCUGACAUUGCUGCCCUCUUUAUUACCUGUCAUCAGGUGUAAUGUUUAUAGCUUUUGUUAUGGAGAGAUAACACUGACAGUCUUUUUGUUUUGCAGACUAUGGUGCAAGUGCAAAGUGUGUGAAACUUCUUCUACUAUACUAUAAUAGUUUUUCUAAAAAUUGAGACAAUUUUGGCUUCAACAGAGCCUGUAAAAAAUUCUUUAAAGUAUUUGCUUUUAAUUUACUAUAUUUUUUGUCAAAACAGUUUUGUUCCAGUAAGAUUAGCUUUUAAUUUUUUUAGCAGAGAGAAACCAUGAAAGUUUACAUCCCAAGUUACAUUAGUACAGCAGAAAAACCUAAACAAGCUUUGCAUCUUAAGGUUUCCUGCUCAUCACGUUCCUCAAACAUUUGGACCAAAACAAGUUAAAUGUUUCCACUGAACCAGAUCCUGAAGGACAACACAGGUUCAUUAAAGAAACGUAUCAACAUUACUACAGGGGAAGGAGAGAACCUGGUCCAUGUUGCUCUUUUUAACAGUAAUGAGAAGGAUCUUGAUAUAGCAGUCUUUAAGGUUCAAGGCCAUGCCUAUCUCACUUUAUAGCAUGAAGAAACAAUAAAAGCCACAGGUCUACUCAUACACAAUCAGUGGAUAAGUAGAGCUUCAGCUUCUUCUUAGAUAAUCAUCAAUAGAGGUUACUAAGCAUUAUGGUUUAUUAGUGAGUGAGAUACAGGUGAUCAGCUCUGAUGUUCUAUGUAAAUGGUCAUGGGAAAUGAAGCAGGUAGGCUUACACCAAGUCCUUUAUAAAAAGUCUAAAAUACUGGCAUGACUUUCUCAUGCACAGACUGUAUACACAUGCUUAAAAUAUGUGUGUUUACUAAGCUGAUUUGAAGGGCAGCAGAGUCAGGAAAUUGCUUACAGGUAAUAAGUUUGGGUCAGGCAAGGUCAGGUUGUUCUCUGCAACUGAAAAAUGGUAAUAUAACAUUUAGUUUAUAUACACUUACCUUUAUUAUGAACACCUGCUCCGUAAUCCAAUCAGCCAUUUUUAACCCUGCAUAAAAUCGGACAGAUACAGUUCAAGAGCUUCAGCUAAUGUUCACAUAUAAUAAAAUAUUAAAACACUUAUGAUUAUUUAUUAAUUAUUAUUUGUAACACAUGUACACCUGGACAUGCAUGCAGUGAUCUAAUCAGCCAAUCAUAUGGCAGCAGCAAACUGCAUAAAACCAUACAAAUACAGGUGAAGAGCUUCAGUUAAUAUUCACUUCAAUCAUUGCAGUAAAGUCCUGAUUUCCUUUAUAUUUAUAUUAUACACUACUCAGAACACCAUUAUUUAAUAAAACAGUAGUACAGUACCAACACUACAUGAACACUGUUUGGGGUAAAUAUAUCCAUCAGACUGCCAUAUUUACCCACAUUUGUACUUGAGCAGUUUUGAUUCUGUAACAGGACGAUUGUGGAGGGUGAGAGCUAACAAGACUUUUCUAUAAAGACAACUGAUGCAUGUUUUCGAACAGGUGAUGGCACUGGACAGCUGAUUGACCUUACAGGUUGGCAACAAGCAAGCUAUCUGACUCAGCAACAGAGGAGAGAAGAUGAGAAGAUCAUACUUCCCACACCAGAUUCCAAUGACUUUACACACACAAUAAAUUGUAUUGAACCUAGCAUGCAAGUAGAUAUAUAUUUAUUAUAGAGGCUUUAUUUCUAAAGAAAAAAACUAUUGACUUUUUGAGGAGAGGUGUACAACUAUAUAGCACUCUGUACAUCUCUCCAGCUCACCUGGUUAUAUGAGUCGAGAGAGAGCUGAUCACUACUGUAUCCAAUGAUUUAUAGCUAAAAAUAAAAAAAUAAAAGUAAUAAAAUAAUACUUUUAUAAUAAUUUAUAUUAUAAAUAUUUAUAAUAUUAUUAAAAAUAAUAUAUUUUUUUAAAACUCCAUUGAAUCCUAUUGUGUCUCCAGUAAAUCUUCCAUGUUACAUGUUUUGAAAUGCAAAUGGUCACAACAAAUGAAUGAAUAUGCAAACUGGUCUAUGAUGUCAUCUGGUGACUUUUUGAGCAUGCAUCAGAUACUUCCCCUUUAAGACUCCUUCAUUUCCUCACAGCAUGAUGAGAGUGACAAAAACAGAAAAGAGAGAAUAUACAGAAGAGGGUUUUAAGCUGAUUAAUAUGGUCUAGUUUCUUUGGCUAUAAUUCUUCUCUCUAAGCGAAUCUCCACAAUGAAUAUCCAAAUGACUGACCACAUGAACACUGAGACACUGCAUUGCAUUGAAGAAUCAUGGACUGGACAGUAGUUUUUCAGCCAAAUUAGAAGACUUUUUAUCUACUUUAAUUCUUUGUGACUGCCAGUAUCUUGUUUUAUGCCAAAUAAUCAGAAUGAAACUCAAAAAAAUGUCAUAUUUUCAAGAUAUAUUGCAAAAAAUUUGAAGAGCACACAGUUUCCAUAUCUCAGAAAUAUGUCUUCACCUCAUUUGUGACAUCUUUUCUCAUUUUCUUUCUGUUUAUUUACAAUAUCCUGUAGAUGUGUAAAUAUUAUUUUCUUUUAUUUAUUCGUUUGUUUGUUUGUUUGUUCCUUUGGCCAUAAACCGGUGUGUCAGUUUUUUUGGUGAGACUCUGAAAGCCUGUAAUCAGUUUUCAAACCAUUUCACAGACUCAUCAUCCGAGCUUGAUUACAAUAAAUCUCUUUGUUUAGAAUAUCUAUAGGAAAAGAAGAGAUAACAGAAACUAUUUAUUUUUAUUACAUUUCAUUGGCUAUCAGGUGCAGUGGCAAGAAACUGAAAUCAUUUGUUUUAAUAAGCGUAGAGCUUAAAAUACUGCCAUGACUUUCUCAUGCACAGACUGUAUACACAUGCUGAGAAAAAGAGGAAAAUGUCUGGUCUCUGAGAUACAGUUAGGGUGGAAGGUAAUAAUAACAGAGUGUGAUAGUCUUUUGCGUUAAAUUUGCUUGAGGCAAUGAUGGUUUUCGAGUCAGCCUGUGUCAUUCUGCCCAAAUCUCCACAGAAUAAGUCCCUUUCCCUGUCUGACUGUCUCCUCUCAGCAUGUGCUGCAGCUCCCAGAGUGAACAGCCCUGCUCCAUGUACUUGUAUUUUAAUUCAUUUCUAAUUUACGUUGGCGUGUGCAUUUUGUUUUGAUGUGUGUCUGUUCUUCAUCCUUGUCCUGUGAUGGUUAUGAUACCUGAUCACUCUCCCUUGUAUGUUUUUAGUUUAGCAUUAGUUUGCCCAUAAACUUAGUUUGUUUAUGUUUUUUUGUAUUUCUGAGGCAUGUUUCUGUGUUUUUAGAGUGACUUCCUAGUUUUGACCCUUGCCAUGUUGAGUCACUGAUGAUGGAUUAUCCCUGCCUGGUAUUGCCUGUCUGCAAUUUAACACAUGAUACAGACUUGACUUUGAGACUAUUUUAUGGAUUAGUCAUGAUAAACAGCAGGCUGAUGUUAGACUCUUGCAUCCUGCCUCAGCUGACACCAGAAAAACAUAACAGAUGUCAAUAUGUAGUCAUUUUCCCCAAAACAUAAAACAACAUUCAAAAAUAAGUAGACCCUUUUUUUUUUUCUUUACUAUUUCAUAUUAUUAUUAACUAUUAUCACAUUUUAAUGGCUAUCAGCUGUGGUGGCAAGAAACAGAAAUCAUUUGGUUUAAUAAGCAUAGAACUGUCAAGGGGAGAGCCUCAUAUUUACUCAGAAUACUGUGGACAUAAGGCGAAACUCAAUCUAUAUCCAAAACUAUAUUUAACUAUAUGUGACUUUAUUUUAUAUAUAUACAUUUUACUGAAUGUGUUUAUGGUUAUUUUGAUUACAUUAUUCUCUAUACUCUUGCUUGUGCAGUCUACUUUCUGA